AUAAAUGAUCUUGUGAUACACAGGUCAAGGCUAACAAAUUGCACCAUCAAUACAGCAGUUUAAUGUGUAUACUCUUGCCCUGCGGUGUGGUAAAUAAUUAUUUCUCUGCCUAAACAGUAAUAACCAUACAGUGGCUCUAAAAAAGAGAAACUAGAAUCGACUUGUAAGCACUUCUCGAAAAAAGUUCAGGAGAAACUUUUGAUUUUUAAAAUGGUCAAUCUGGAGACAGCAGUGUGAGAAGGCGCUGGUUGCCCUCAAACAAUUGACUCAGCUCCUCGUGAAGUCCCCUGGGUGCCUCGACUUCCAAACCGUUUUCUCUGCACGCAGCAAGUAGAAUCCAAGCCUGGGCUGGAAGACCUUUCGAUACCAAAAGUUCUGCACAUUGUGCGAAUCGACCCAGCGAGAUGAGAACAAGUGCAGCUUGCAUCUGUCAAAAAAUUCAAAUAAACAAAAUCAAAUCAAAUUUAUGAGAAUUACCCUGUUCCCGUUGGCAGCAAGAUGCUCAGCCCAUUUCUUCAGCACCUCGGCCAUUUCUCCCUGAGGUAAGACUGAUUUUGCUAGCCAGGCUGCACGCUCCCAUAAAGAGUAUGAAGUGAGAUACCGGCAAGCAUCUAACCCCUUUCCAAUCAAGCACAAAAGUUGGACGCCUUCAUAAAUAAUUAAUAGUUUCUCCAAAAUUAAUGAAUAGUAUUAAAUUUACCUUCCCCUAUAUUUCCAUUUGCUAUCAAGUUUGUGGCAACAAGUUUGAUAGUGCUUUGGGCAGCACCAGUAGACUGAAUGGUUGAAACCAAGCAAGCUCUGAAAUCAAAAUUUCAAUUACUGAGGAGACAAAUUGUACUAAUUGUACUUUAUGGCAUCAGUGUAGUAGGCAGGAUUCUCAAGCUCCGUCUCCAAAAGAAGCUGCACCGCUCUGUCAGUCUGUCCAAGCAGGAUGAGACGUUCGAUCACCUUUUUCGAGUGUUCGUAGUCUCCGCGCUUCGACUCGUGAAUUGAUGCUCUCUCAAGUUGCAGUUUCUGAGAAAUUACACUUUUAGACUGGAAGUAUUAUUUCAACGAAUACAAAACAUACCUGGAAGGAAUAAUUAUCGCAGAUAAGAUCAUAGCAAGUGUCUAACGGUUCUAGAUCUGGGUUUGCAUUGGUUCUGUUUGUGUCCAAGGUGGAGCCAGGCGAAUCUAUGCUCGGACUCCUCUCAAUAAUUCCCUAGGAUAUUAAUUUGUGGAAAUGUCAAGAGAAAAAUUGUAAAAAUAUUUAUUAUACAGUGCGCUUGUAAGUUUUGAUGUAGUAAUCAGCCACGGUCCACAAAUCGACUUCCUCCGUGGAACCAAAGUACUUGGCAGCUGCCAGAGCUCGUUGGCAAUAAGAUUUCUGCCUGAAACUGUCCAUUUCAGACUCGGAAAGCUGAGUUAGUUGGUCUUUCAGGCCUAAAAAUGUAGGAAAAAAUUUACAACUUUUAAAAUUUUUGAUUUGGAAAGUACUUCCAGUCUGGAUGUACACAACUUUAAUUGUUAAUCCGCACUGUGUUUCAAACUUUUCAAAAAUUUUGCCUUCAAAUUUUUAACAUUAAUUUCUUUGAAUUAAAUUUUAAAUUGAAAAGUUGCUCACCUUGAGCCUCUAGGUCUGUUAGCCCUCGGAGGUUGUCCAAUUGAUCAAUCGUGCAGAGCCCAGUAGCAAGUGAGGUUCUUAGACUAAGAAGUGCAUGAGGUGUAAGAAGACUAGGACAAUAAAUGGAGUCUGUAAGAAAGUUAUAUUAGAAAAUUAAUCAUUUUUUAAAUUUUCAAAAUAACCUUGGAAUGAAUAUUCCGACAUUGGGGAGCUGCAGUGGGUCAAAGUUAUGUCCAUCACUCGGAGACACCCAUCCUGGGUUGCCAGGACAGGCUUGUCUGAAGCAGCCCAAUCAAUAUCCAUCACCUUGACAAUAUCACGAGGACUCUUCAACUGAGCUAUUCUCUCGUAAUGCGCCUAAAAUCAGACCGUUAUUUUUUAUUGAUUCAUUGUAAAAAAUAUGCACCUUUUUAAGGUCUAUUAUGUCAACGCCAUCAUUGUAGAGUAACAGUAGCCUGAGAUUUCCCUUGCCUGGAGCAAACCGCAUCUUUUUUACCCACCCUCUUGAAGUGUGCACGUUUCGUGACGAGCGAGCCUUCAAAUCCCAAAUAUUCAGCAACCCGUCAGAGUCUCCUUGGACUAUAAGGUCAUUUUUGAAGGCAAUACAGGUGACACCGCUAACUCCAGUCUAAAAUUUGUUGCAAAACAAAAUGUUAUUCAAGUUUGGUUAUGCAUGAGCUACGUUUGUACCUCAGGAGGAAUUUUGAUGCCAUCUUUCAUCACAUUUCCAUCGACAGAAAAGUGAAACAACUGACUGUCGGUGUCUGUAAAUACAAAAUGCUCCCUGGCUAUGAGACUUUUUUCAGCAGAAGAUUCACCAAUUCUUGCUAGAAUUAUAUAUUCUUGAAUUUUUUCACAAAUAAUUAUUAAAAUCAAGUUUUUACUUUGUUCUGCGGCAGUAGGUGACAACACUUGGAUGUCUUCCUGUUCUUUCUCUUCUUGGUGGGCCAUUUUCCGUCUUAAUGCUUUUAAAUUGUGAAUUGGUGACCAUUCCUAAAUCAUGUUUGAAAUACAUUUGUUGAAAAUAACAAAAUGUUCAUACCAACGCCGUCACAAGGGGGAACUUCUUAGGCAUGGUUCUCAAAAUGCACAUAUUUCGCAAAUCCCACAACUCGAAUGUGCUAAAUUUAAGUGACAGCACAAAAUAUUGCCUGAUUUCAAAGUAAAAAAUUUUUAACAUUAUCCGAUUCCAAAAGAAUAUAAGACUCACUUCAAAGGUGAAACUUUCAGAGUGUCGAUUGGAGGUUCGUCAACAACAUCUGUGCGAAUCGAAGUGCAACCUCCAGUUGCAACAUCCGUCAGCAACAACUCAUUUCGCACCAUUCCAGAUGAACCUGGGGUUGUAAAUGCAAAGCUCAGGAAACUCUUCAGGCCAGUCCACUCAAUUCCCCUAAUCAAAUAUAAUCGUAACUAAACAUUUUUCAAAUAGUGCAUCAUUUUUUUGCUUACCUAACAGGAUAGGAGUGGAUGACUAGUUCCUUUUCGAGAAUUCCUGUUGCCAUGUUGUAAAUUUGCACACAACCCGAUUCAGUUCCACCAGCCAUGAUUGGCUCGUACUCUUGCCAAUUCCUUGUGGUCAGGGGUGGACACAUUCUGAUGGCCUGAAGUGAUCCACUGAUGCUGUGCAACAAACCCGUAAUUUGAAGUUUCAGAUUUCCCUCAGCGCUGAUUUCUCUUGGCUGCAAUGAUUUGUAAAAGUUACAUAAAAUUUUAGUUUUCACAAAAAAAAUUACUCACAGAAUACAAUGGUUCGACCAGAUUUGAAAGGUAGUUAGCAGUGUCCAUUUGUAUCGGAGUGUACCCAAGAUCCAGAAAAAUUAUCUUCCCAUUUGUCAAAAUCAAAGCUGGACAACAAAUUUUAGGGAAAACAAGAUUUUCAUUUACCAAAUACAUACCAGCUCUGCACUCUGAAUGGGGAUCGAUGGCCAUUCCAAGCACUUUUGAAGACUUGGUCAGUCGGACAGCCUCGCUGUGACAUCUUUGGUCAUAAGCCAUUUCGGGUUCAUUUUGCAUUUGGAAGCCUUCUGAAAUUUUGUUUGAUUUUUUUAUUUAAAUUUAAGUAACAAAAGAUAUUUCAGGGUGAAAACUACCUUGACUAAGGGCUGACAUGUCAAGUGAAAGCCUUGAAGCUGACAGAUUGCGCUUCCUCAGUUUGACUCCGAUGCUCCCAGACUCAUGCAGACAAUACAUAACAUCCCUCUGCCUACAUGACACAACCUGAAAUUGAAAAUAUUUCAAUUCGUACUCAUAGAAAUAGAAAAUUAACCUCCUGUAUCAUUGAAAUAAAAUGGCAAAAUCAGCAAACCUGCAUGAAUGGCGCUGCUGUCCUCUCCAAAGGGAUGACGCAGAUGGUCUGAUUGAUGUGCAGAUCCAGAAUGAGCAGUUCUUUGGAGAAGAGCAGCAGCAGGUGGUGGCGAAGUGAACGGUGAUAGCACAACUGCAAACAAUCGCUGUUGCCACCACUUGGCACCUCUUCAGACCUAAAUUUUGAGCAAUUUUUAAAACUCAAAUCCACUGUUUUCAGUUUUGUGCAAAAGCUUACUUUGGUUUGACCUCUCCUAUGACAAGAUCCUUGACCAUUUUUCGGAGGCCUUCGCCUCCCAACUUCUUCUCGUUGCUGUUGUGGCUUCCACUGGCGUGGUUCCCCAUUCCUUGGCUGAUAUAAAAUCUACGACCGUUGCUUGACGGCACUUUGGACACCGAGAAAUCAUCCACAAACAAAAUGCAAUCUUGACAUAAAACUGAAAAAAAAGUGUGAGUUAGGGUCAAAGCUGAAGGACAACAGAUUUUCCGUGUAGGUUUUCUUCCACAAUUUGGUCUUGGUCGCCGUGUCCCAGACGACCAAUGAAUAAGCACAUCACCUUAAAAUUGCACUUAAUAAAAUGCAAAUACCUAAUAUGGCCUUGGAACCAUCCUGGAGAACGCCAGCGGCCUUUCCCUGCUGGACGUCCCAAAUAACGAUGUGUCCCUGCAGGUCAGCAGAGACCAAAAACAAACCAGCGGUUUUUCCCUGGAUUGAGCCAGGCUCCCAACAGAUCUAAAAAAAUCAAAGUUAUAUUAUGUAACAACAACAAAACUGAUAAAUCUAAAUUCAUGUAAAAAAAAUCCACCUUUUGCACAGGGUGCUUGUGUUUUUCGAGAGUCUGGACGGUCUGAAUGUUCCUGGUGUCCAACACUACCACGGAGCAGUUGGAGCCGUACGCAAGCAGCCCCUGAGAGCCCCACUCGAGGGCGCCGAUGUUGCCCAUGCUGGCGGCGCCGACCAGGGUGCGGGCCGACACCCUGGGAAUGUUGAAUGAGGGUCCUCCUUUGGCCUGCUCGUACGACUCGACCGAGCCCUGCCGCUCCAGGUGUCCGUCCUCGGCGCUCUCGCCCAUCGCUCUGGCCGCGCUGCUCUCAGGUGUUCUCGGACACGCUCAGCGCCGGACAGCAGCACAGGACAUCUACUUAGGGUCUCGUGUGUGUCCGAUAUCACCUUGCCAGUCGGGACAGUCUUUUCAUUUUUGUUUACCAACUCAGCCUUCCUUAUUUUUUGGCCUGCACCUGCCUUGGCGCCGAAAGAGACAUCUGGCGGAGGAAAGAGUGAACUAAUUCUUGCUCUGACAAGAAGUCUUCUUGCUCUGCGUCUAUAAUAUUGGAUCAGAUCAAAACUAUAUAGCCACGUGCUCGCGUGCUUCUGUACGUGUCAAAUAAUAUUACAAGAUUGAAACUUGGAAAGUCCUUGUUAUGAACAAGAACUUUACUAUUUACUUGAGCUAAAUUAAACUCAUCAGUAAAGAUAAUGAUAAAAUUAUAUUUAUAUUGAUUAUUUUCGAUUAUUUUUACA